rnacentral:rRNA from 1 species
UACAGAGGGUGCGAGCGUUAAUCGGAAUUACUGGGCGUAAAGCGCGCGUAGGCGGCUUUGCAAGUCGGGUGUGAAAUCCCCAGGCUUAACCUGGGAACUGCAUUCGAGACUGCAUUGCUAGAGUAUGGGAGAGGGAAGUGGAAUUUCCGGUGUAGCGGUGAAAUGCGCAGAUAUCAGGAGGAACACCAAUGGCGAAGGCAGCACUCUGGGACGUGACUGACGCUGAGACGCGAAAGCGUGGGGAGCAAACAGG